rnacentral:rRNA from 1 species
UACGUAGGGGGCGAGCGUUGUCCGGAUUCAUUGGGCGUAAAGAGCUCGUAGGCGGCUUGGCAAGUCGGAUGUGAAAACUCCAGGCUCAACCUGGAGCCGCCAUUCGAUACUGCUAUGGCUAGAGUCCGGUAGGGGAGUGUGGAAUUCCCGGUGUAGCGGUGAAAUGCGCAGAUAUCAGGAAGAACACCCGUGGCGAAGGCGGCUUUCUGGGACGGUACUGACGCUGAGACGCGAAAGCGUGGGGAGCGAACAGG